AGGCACGUAGCUCAGUGGGAGAGCACUACUCUGACACGGUAGGGGUCAAGGGUUCAAUCCCCUUCGUGCCUACCA
rnacentral:tRNA from 2 species